UUUUUAAUCUAAGGGUAGGAGAGAAGAAUCCAAAAAGCAAUAUUUUUCAUCACAUGCCAAAAAUGGGAUAGAGAGGAGGAGUGGCAGGCCUAAGCCCCUCCAAUUGUCCCUUGAGAGGUACCCCUCAGCCCACCUCAGUAUGGUGCUGGGUAGAGGAGAUACCUGGGUUCUAACCUCUAAACAGGGGAGACCCCAGCCUCUAGAUAGAGGCCAUUUUAUUUUUUAUUCUGAUUAGCCAUUUUA